rnacentral:lncRNA from 1 species
UUUGAUAUGAUGGAAGAAGUGUUUUCUGGCACUAUUACUGUAAUUUUGGUGGUUAAACCAUAAUAUCUUUUUGGCAGCUCACCUGUAUCAAUAUAAGUGGCAUACCACUAUGAAUCGAUGUGAUUGGAUGAAUGGACUCUUGUAGUCUUAUUUGGUGUGAUUGGUUGGACGAAGUUGGCGUGUAGCGGAUGGAGGUAGGAUUUGUUCUGUUCUGAUAUGACAUUAUAAUUCGAUAUAUAUUUAUAAUUAUCUGAAAUUAUGACUGUCCGAAACGAUAUAUGCUUUUGGAUCUGUUAUGACAUUUUGAUAUGUUAGUUGCAUAUGUGUACAUUAUGAGUAAGAAUUUGUUUUGAUAUUGGUGUCUACACUUGUAUAUGAUUAUAAAAAUAUAUAUCUGAUCCUGUAUGUGAGUAUAUGUUAAAUCUGUAACUGAUAACGUGUCUGUUAUUUAUGUACAUCUGUUUGUGGGUUGGGUCACACACUAGGCUUCUAGCUUACUCGUUUGUUUAAUUCGUAUCAGGUGUACUUCUGACUUAGGUCUUGGCGGCGACUUUGGAGCUCAGUUCACACAAUUUGGUAUAAGUUUAUUAGGUUUUUUUUUAAUUUUGGACUUUACGGUCUUUCAGAUUUUAAUUUGUUUUGGAGCGUUAAAUUCUUAGUUUUGGUAUUUUUUUCGCUUUUAUUUUAAACUCGUAAACACACCCAAGACCAUAACUAAUGGAUCUUAUGAUUUUAAGAGAUAAUAAUUUUAAAAGUAUUUUUAUGCCAGUUUUGAAAUUAAUUACGACUUUCUACAAUUCAAUUGGUUAAACAUUCGGGAUUGUUUUUAUAACAUUAAUAAAACAAGAUUUUCAUCUAAGUUCUUACAUGCGUUCUUCUGAAAACUUGUGUUUCCAAUAAUUUAAAUAGCUUUAUUACUCAGGAAUUAAAACUAAGUUUUUUUUUGUGUAAGUUAAUUGAUAAUGUUUUUACGAGCAUUGUAACCUCCACAAUCCGACCUUAACGUCUAAGCCAGGUUUGGGGUGUUACAACUCCCAUUAUCAUCAUGCCAUAUAAACAUAUGAGAUACCAAGAACAAAUCAACAUAACUCAUAACAAAUGUUAUCCGAUACACCACCAGUAAGAACAUAGCAACAGAAUCAUAAAAUCCAACGACAAGCAUAAACCAACAAGCUCUUUUUAAAAAUAACAAUAUUAGUAGCAUAAAAAAACACCAACAAAAGUCAGCAAUAGCAAGCAAACCAUUAACUUAUCUCCCACUUUUUGUUGAAAGGCCAAAAGACUCCCCUUGUCAUUUCUAUUUGUACUAUUUUGUUUUAGUUUCUGUUUGAACAAGAGUUUGAACAUCCAUGUUUGUUUCAGUUCAGCUUCUUCUUCCAAAAAGUAUGGCCAAAUGAUUCUAUAAAUUGGUUGGACGAUCUCAACGUGCAUUCUGCUUCUGUGACUUGGCUUUAUAAUGUAGAUCGUGGAUUGGCACACGUUUAGUGGGACGUAUAAGGGAACCUCCCUUCUUCUUUUACAACACUUGUGGUCUUCGCCCUCACAACUGAAAUAUUUUAAGUAAUCCUGGUACAACUUCUAGUUCCUCUUCAACCCAAGCUAAUUCUUAUGUUGAUGGUGCAGGGUCUUCCUUGCAUUCUCAUAUUGUGCCUAUCUCAUAUCAAAACAUGGACAUUACAAUAAUUCUCAGAAGGCUACUGCUAUUCUAGUAAGGAAAACAACAUCGAAGAAAACUAAGAAGAGGCCCAAAUUAGAGGAAAGUACUCAAGAGACCGAAAGUAGUGAAUUCCCUUCUUUGGCCCAGCGUAUACCCGAAAAAGAGUCUACCACAAAUGUUACUCACAGUUCUCCAGUUCCUACCUUACUUGGAAUUCCAACACCACUAAUGGAGCCCGCCCACAAAGCUGAUUCUCCUAUUCACACCACUAAUCCUCCUCAAACAGAGAUUCUCAUAGAAAUAAUACCUCCAACUCAACUAGUGGCUUCAUCCUAUAUUCCACCACACGAUGCUUAUUCUAGUGAAGUAGAAGGAAUAUUACCUUGGCAUGAACUAUUAAAGUCGGGGCUAUCUUCUAUGUCACUAGGUUCCAUUUUUUAGUAGCAGAAUAAUUCGAUGCCACAUCAGUUAAAAGAGGCUCUUACUUCUUAUCUUUCCUUAAAUUCAGAUUUGUCUCCUCUUUCCCUCUUGAAAAAGGCUCCACAAACCUUAUUUGUAGAGCAUGAGCUUUGGAGUUAGCCAUCAAAGACACCAGUGAUCGAUACAAUGCUAGAGUUACGAGUUUGGUGAAGGUUGUGAAAAUUGGCAAAAACUCUGUGGCUAAACUACGUCGAGAUCAUCAGGAAUCUAUCAGCUUGAGUGGAAGGCUUAAUGCGUAUGUCAAGGCUUUGAAGAGAAAAUAUAAGGACACACAAAAUAAGUGUAAUUAGUUAGAAGAGGACAUCAAUCUGCUAAAAGAUAAAGAAUCCACAUUGGAAGAAAAGAUCAAAGCCCAAAAAGAUCGCCACAAAGAAUAGCUGGAAGGUCCACUCUAAUCCAAUGAAGAAGCUUUCAGAAAAUAUCAAGAAGACACUAAAAAGAAACUUAAUGAAGCUCUGUUAGAAUGGAGGUCCAACCUAAUUCUAUACACCCAAGUGGUUGUAGGUGCUCUUGAUCUUACUUGAGUAGAGGGAUAUCUCUACUGAGUCGCUAAACUUUAAUGUCUACCACCUUGAGGGCAAAGGCUGAGAAACUUUUUAGAGAGAAUGGAAAAAUUCAACUGACAUUUUUAUUCCCACUAUGAUAGAGGUUAAAGACAAUGAAGAGGACUCAACAGGCGUGGAGUAGAAAAUUAAAGAUCAACCUCAAAUAGAAGAGGUCCCUACUGAACCCAUCGAAUAGCCCACAAAAGGAGGAAAUUAGAAUUUUCUUUUUGUUUGACCUUGUACUUUCUUUUUCCAUAUUAUCUAUAACAUUUUUUUCUGGUUUUAUUAGUGAAACCAUUAUUUUGUUCCUUCAUUAUCUUUCUUAUCACUAUAUUAUUAAUAUAACAAGGUAUCAUUUUUCAAAAAAAAUUUAACAUACUUGAGAGACUAAACUAGGUCCGACGUACCACACAUACAGGGUUGACUCACUUAGUUGCUAGAGGAUCGACUAAAUCGCAAGCUCUAAUACCAACUUUAACGCCCUCAACCCAAUCCGAUUCACCGGGUCUAAAUCUCAGGUAUUACUUCACAUUUUACUUAGCAAAAUUUUUAAACAGUUGAAGGGUACUCCUUGCUUAAUACAUAUUUCUUACCAUUUUUUUAAAGACUUAAUAUCAAAGAAACAAAGAAAAGUACUUAAAAAUAAAAUAAUACAUUAGACUUGUUACAACUUAUUACAACACAAAAAAUUGCUAAAGACAGACUCUCUACAGCGUAAUCCUACAAUAUGCCACUUUUCUAAAUAGUCUAUUGUAUGCAUAAUAAUCCAGAUUGCCGCUUCCUUGGCAUAUUCCUAGCGUUGUCCCUCUUGCUGUAUUCACUCUCACCAUAAUACUUGAAACAUAAGAACAGCACUUGUAAGUUACACGAACUUAGUGAACUUUAAUAUAGAAUACCUUGGCGAAUAUUGUUAUAAUAUCGUCUUCGUGCUUGUAUGCCAAUUUCCAUACUUAACCUAUCAUUCCUGUUUUGGCACACUUUCAGAAUAUUUUGACAUACAUUUGUACACCAACAAUCAUUCUAAACGUAUCAAAUUCCACUUCACUACAUGGUUGAUUUCAGAUCUUACUAGACAACAUUCCACUAUUAUUUUAUUCAUAUAACCUCGAAGAUACUUCUUGAAGGAAUAUUUCUACAGAGUCCAAUUCUUAUGGUUUUUCUCUUCAAACUAACACUUAACAUUUUUCCUAUAAUAGUUAUCACAGUUACUGUUCAGGAAUGGAUACUUACUAUAUAGAUUCACGUUUGAUGAAUUCCCAGGCUGAGUUCAAUAAUAUCAAGCUACUAAACAAAUCCUAACCUUGUCCAAACCCAACAUAUGCUUAUACUGAUAAUGAACUAUCCAGAUCAUUAAGAAGAAUUCUACACAUCUUUGUUAUAAAACACAAGAAAACCCAAUAUGAAAAACAACUCAAAUUUCAUACGAUUCCAGGACAAGACAUGAUGAUAUUCAGGUAUGGCGUUGUAACACCCUAUACCUAGUUCAGUCGCGUGAUCCGAGCUAUAAUGCAUUACGAUAGUAAUCUUAGAACAUUUUUCAUUAUAUCAAUAAAAUACAACCAAAUAAUUCAUAUUCAAUCAUUUACAUGCUUUUCAAUCAAUUUGGGACCUAAUUUGAGCUUACGGAACAUUUAAAGAAAACUAGGAUCAAUUCUGGAUUAAAUCAAAACUUCUAUAAAAUUGUAUAAAAAGUGUAAACACGGGUCACACGGUUGUCUGGCAAAGGCCAACCCGUGUGGCUUCUCCACAUGCCCAUGUUUCCAGACUGUGCAUAAUUUGAAACAGGGCAACACGGUCGUGUCGCCAGACCGUGUAACAACUUGUGACCAUGUGAAAAAUCCUGCACCUAAAAUCAAACAACCACACGCCCGUGUCACACAACCGUGUGGGGUAUACAGCUAUGUGGAAGCCCGUGUCACAGGCCAUGUCUGCCUAAAAUUUCCUUCGAAAAGAAGUUAUUUCACAUUCAAAUCCUUUCGCACCAAGCUAAGAAAUAACCAUCCAUCAACCCUAUUCAAAAUGUGCCUAACCAUGGCAAAAAAAAAAAAAAAACAUUUCACACACAACCUAAGUGCCUAACCAAUAUGUCUGCAUUGGUACCACAAUUCAAACUUAUAAUCUGAAACACACAAACUCAAAUAUAACAACCAAUUAGGGACAUUUAAUCAUAAACUAAAGUCCACAUCUUCCACACCAAAAAUAUUUGCCAUUCAAUCAACCAUAAUAACUACAUAUAUGUCAUUUCAGUCCAUGAUAUACUAGACAAACAUUGACCAUUUCCACAAAAUAUCAAGUGUUACAUAUAUAUAUACAAAACUUAUCAUCCAAAAUCAGUUAAGUCAUCAACUAAUUGCAUAGAACACAUACAUAUUAUAAUCCUAUUUACAUGCCAUUUAUAACAGGACCAAAAUGAUCAAAAGGCUACCGAAAUUAUGGCGGAUAGUGUGAUCUCCCAAAAUUGAUCCAAUCAAAGACGCAGAUCUGACAAUCAGUAAGAAUAAAACCAAAAUAGGUAAACUCAUAUAAGGCUUACUAAGUUCAUGAAAUCAAAUAUAUCAAACCUUUCAACUUAGUUAUAAGUCAAAUACAAAAAUGAAAUAAUUAUUCUUUUGUCGAAUUCCAACAUUCCAACCUGAUAGAUAACUGUCAAAGGAUGCCAUAGCAUCUUUCAGCUAUGGUCUUAGUUCUAAUUACAAUGAUGUCAUUCUGUCUUUCAGCCAUGGUCUUACUCACUUCUGUCAUGAUGCCAUAACAUCUUUCAACUAUGGUCUUACUUGUUUUAAUCAUAUUGUCAUAGCGACUUUUAACUAUGGUCUUACUUGUUUUAAUCAUAUUAUCACAACGUCUUUCAACUGUGGUCUUACUCAUUUUUAAUCAUGUUUACGAUAACAUAUAUAUACACAAACACAUAAGUGAUUAAAUUCAUAUCAAUAAAAAGAAUAUAACAACUUAAUGUGAACUUAUUGAAAUAUGAUAACUACCAAAAUUCGAAGAUGCCUACUCAACGACCUUUUUCUUCCCGCAAUUAACAAUCGGUUGACUUGUUUCUUGAUCUAAAUAGUAAUAAUUAAUUCAAUUAACCAAAUUAAACAUCUUAAAUCACAUAAAAUUAUGCAAUUAACCCUUUUAAUGAAAUUUUACACAUUUAUCAUAAACUUUUACCUUUUAUUCAAUUUAAUCCCUAAAACCAAAAUUCUCACAAUUAUUACAAAUUAGCCUAAAAACCCUUAUACUGAAUUCUAUAUGGUCCCUAAACAAUCUACUUUUAUCAUUUUAUCACAAGAAUUACAUGAUAUUUUAUAAUUUUAACAACUUAGUCCCUAAAUUUUAAAAUUACCUAAAAUCACUUUACAAAAUAGUCCUAUUUAACUAUUAAGCGUAAUAAACUAUCAUAAAAAUUCAUGAACAUUACAAAUUCAUUCAUGGUAAAACUCUAAACAUUUGAAAAUUUUACAAAUUAGCCCUUGGGUUAGCUAGAUUAAGCUACAAUAGUAUCAAAAAACAUAAAAAUUACUAAAAACAAAAUCAAAUUCACCUUACAUGCAAGGUUACAAGCUAAUUGAACUUCAAGCUAUGAAAAUGGUGUUUUUCUCUUCUUCAAAACUUGGUGGAGAGCUAUGGGAGAGGACAACAUGCUAUUUUCCUUUUGUUUUAGUUUUACUUAAUUAUUUAAUUACAAAUUUACCCUUUAAAACUUAAUCUAAUUUCAUGUAAUGCCCUGUCCUAACCGUCCAUAUGGUCUAAGUACCAUAUAAGUCCAUCAAUUUAAAUUUAUUUAGUCAUUUAACACCUUUAACUAUUACCAAUCAACUUUUGUAACCUUUACGAUUUAGUUCUUUUUACUUAAUUAACUAUCUAAAUGAUAAAAUUUUCUAACCAAAAUUUAAUACGACCUUGUAAUAACCCUAUAAAUAUUAAAUAAAUAAAAAACUACUGACCCAAUGGCCAAAAUCGUGGUCUUGAAGCAAAUAUUUUCGAUACCACUGAGAAUAGGUUGAUGUAGGCAUAUACCAAUCAACAUAGAUUUCAAAUCUAUUUAUCGCGGGAUAACUCAAAAUGACAAAUACUUAUCACUUUCAUAUCUACGAAUAUGUCCAUAUUCUAAACUAACAGAUUACCAUGACGGAUACCGUCUUUGAACAUACAGAUACACACUAUUUUUCAAGAAACUUCCCUUAAGACUUAUUCGAUUACAUCACAGAACUAAUUCAACCAAAUUAACUUUAGAAGUCUCAUAACCUUAUCAUUGACUUAUCUAUCAAAGAAUUAUAAAAACUUAUCCAUAACAUACCAUAAGGGCGGAUAACCACAUCCUACCACAUAGAUAUCAUCGAAUACACCAAUAAGAUGAUACAAAACUUUCCAUAAAGGCUUAGCACAGAAGGUGCAAUGGGUUUCUCCCUCAUGGGCUUAUACAUAACUUUAUGUCGUGAUCUGCUAGUUUGAUCUACACAUUAUUAGAGCCAUUACCAUGAACAUUCAUACAAUCUAUCUUGCCAAAGGUCUCAGCCACAUGGACUUACGAAUUCUCAUGUCUUGAUCUGCCAGUCAAGCCUUCAUCUUAUUAGAGGCAUCACCAUGAGUGUUAUCAUAUCAUACAUUGCCAUGUGUCUCAACCACAUGGUCUCGCACUUAUCUUCGUAUCGUGAUCUGCCAGUCUGGUUAGCAAUAUACCUACUUUACUAGAGGCAUCACAAGGGUCAUUUUACCUAGAAUUUACUUACCCAAAUUUGCUUACACACCUGGUUGAUUCGUCCUUUUCCUUAUAAAACUUUACCUACAUAAUCACCACUUAUUUUUUAUCCAGACAAUACUUCUUACAUGUCAUUAUUACACACGCAGAACUUUUACCAUACAUCAUUUACACCAUUACCAGUCAUCCGAAUAUUAUUAACAUAUAUAUACUUCAACUCGAACAUCCAUCUCAACCCAACAACAACUACUUGGAGAACACAAUUUCACCAUUAAAAACCAUUUACAUACAAACUGCUAACAUCUCAAUCAUAAAUAACCCCAUGCAAGUGUCACGGGCCGUAGUUCAAAGCCCGUGACCAUCGCACCAAAUGCAUCCAAUAGAGGUCUAUUGCUUAGAUGGGGAUCAUUUGGCCUACGAGAACUGGUCUGAUUCAAAGACCUAUUGGACAAGCCUAUCAGAUUGAAACCUGGUUGGCCCGAUAAUGAAGAGAUGGCAACUUAGGCUAAUAUGGUAACUAAUCUUAGAAGAUAUAGGGAAUCAUAUCUUGUAAAUCCCUAAAAUCAAAGGAUAUAGUGAAUCUCGUCCGUCGAUGUAAAUGUAUCUUGACCGUCAGUUUUGAGGGAGCUCAACUAUAAAUAGAGAGCCUCCCCCUCAUUUGUACUCAUCCAUUGUAAGUUGAAUUCUUAAGAGCAAUAGAAUUAUUGAGCAUUUACUCAAACACUUUGUGUGCAUUCUUUCUUUGGCUUUCUGUUGUUCACUUGUAGCUUCUUUUGACACAACCGCUUCCGCUAUACAAAUUGGUGUCUUGCAGGAGUUCUUAAAAGAAUCCUCACUUUUAGUCAUAAAGGCUAACUUAGGCGACUUUGGGACGAACAGAUUUCCUAAGACCGUACGGAUUGCGAGACGAAAGGUCUAGCCUCAUGACAAUUGGUAUCCGAGCCAAGUUUUGAACCAAGUGAUAUUCAAGUUGGUUCGAAGGCACCGUUGGGAUGUUGAGAGAAGAGUUCGAACAAAGGUGGGCGAGAAAGUCUUUGAGAGAGAUGUUGUCGGCUGUUGAGGAAUGCGUGGGUAAACUUGUGGAGUCCAUGGAGGAUGCAAAAGAGUCGGGCAAUGCGCUUGGGGAAGCAUUAAUAACUUGAGGGAGCAGUCCAGGGACUUUGUGACCAUGUGUCUCAUUUCCCAAAGGGAUAGCGUACAAGAGUUGCUAAAUUCCCAAAGGAAGAAGCUGACAGAGAGAAACGAUGCUCUUGAGGCCAUGAUGAUGGCUUUGAAGGAGGAAAUAAUGGCCACGACGAGGGCUUCGAGCACAAGAAUAGAGGAGCUUGAGGGAGAGCUGGCCUUGUGCCGAGCAGCAAUGGGGAAGGGAGUGUCAAGUGCAGCACUCAGUAACGAGGAUGUCCCGAAGCUGAAAGAGUUUGUGGGGACAAGGUCUGCAUGCGAUGUGGACAAUUUCUUGUGGAGGAUGGAACACUACUUUCGUGCUAAAGGCAUCGUGGAUGAUGCGGAUAAGGUAAACACUGCUUCCAUGUUUCUUACUGACAUUGCGCUUUUAUAGUGGCGAGGCAGGACCACAGAUAAAAGGCAAGGUGAAAUUGAGAAGUGGCAAGAGUUCCAAUGCGAGUUGAAGGGACAGUUUUACCCAGAGUUUGCCGAGGAAGAAGCUCGGGCAAAGUUGCAAGGUAUAUCGCAAUGGGGCACAGUGGGGGAGUAUGUUCAAGAGUUCAAGGAACUCAUGUUCCAAGUUUCAGAUGUGACCGAGGAAGAAGCAUUGCUUGCUUUUCAGAAUGGAUUGAAGCUGUGGGUUAGAUAGGAGGUGGAACAAAGAGGUGUCCAAAAGCUGUCGGAAGCCAUGACGGUAGUUGCGUCCGUGGUCAAGCUUGGGUCUUCCAAGUCCGAGGAAAGGGGCGUAUGUGAAAUGGAUCACAAGGAAGAUAUUGUUGAGGGCAAUGGCAACGACGACAAUGGUGGUAACGGGAAACCACGAGUUGGGAAGAAGAAACCCAAGAGGAAAAGGGACAAGCUGAAAUGCUUUCUUUGCGACGGUCCACACAUGUUGAAGAAAUGUCCAAAGAAAUCCACUCUUAAAGAGAAGUCAGUGGGUAAGGCCUUGGUACUUGGUUCGAGCGCAAGGGGUGUCGAAGCCAAUGAGGCCGAAAGCGAGAAGAAGCCAAUGGAGUGCUUCUUGUGUCAUGGUCUGCAUAAGUUGCGGAAGUGUCCAAGGAAGUCUGUCAUCGAGGGGAACGAUAGAGCAGACAAGGAGCCCAAGAAGCUUGGUUCGAGCAAGGGAAAAACUGAAGCCAAGAGGGCAAAGAGGAGCAAAAAUAAGCGAGUAAAGUGCUUCUUGUACCGUGGUCCGCAUGUGUUGCAGAACUGUCCAAAGUAAGCCGAAGUCAAAAGAAAGGAAACGUCUGAGCUUGGUGAGUCAUCGGAGGGGCUUCCACCCAAGGAAGAAGUGAGUUUGUCAUCGGACUUAGAGGAAAGAGUUGCGAUGAAAAUAGUGAAGCUGGGACCAAUGAGGCUCAAGUUGAGUGAAGUGUCGGAGUUGGUCGAGUCAUCGACAAGGCUUCCACCUAUGGGAGAGGUGGGUGGUGCAUCGGACUUCAAGGAAAAAGAAGUGAUGCAUGUGAGACAGUUGACCAGAGUAAAUGCGAAGGUACAUUCCGAACACUGUGAUAGUGUUUUGCAUUCUAACUUGUUGACUUGGCAAGAACGUAGGGGCCCUUUCGAAGUUCUUGAGCAAAGAGGCUGAGAGACUAUGGGCAAAGCGAAGCCAAAGAAAAUGAGAGUGACAUAACUUCUUGUCAUCAAGAUGUAGAAACGAGUAGGACGGUUCGAGUGAAGAAGCGACGUAAGCCGAAGCAAAAGUCCCGAAGGAAGGGAAAGGCUAAGGCAUCGAGACGAGACUGAGGCGAAUCAAGUCAGUGCCAUUUUGAAGUCGCAAUGAGGAUGCUGCGAGAAUGGGUGGGGGAGAAUGUCACGGGCCGCAAUUUAAAGCCUGUGACCAUCGCACCAAAUGCAUCUAAUAGAGGUCUAUUGCUUAGAUGGGGAUCAUUAGGCCUACGAGAACUGGCCCGAUUAAAAGUGCUAUUGGACAAGCCUGUCAAAUUGAAGCCUGGUUGGCCCGAUAAUGAAGAGAUGGAAACUUAGGCUAAUAUGGUAACUAAUCUUAGAAGAUAGAGGGAAUCAUAUCUUGUAAAGAUUAGAUUAGAUUUGAUAAGGCUUAUCUUGUAAAUCCCUAAAAUCAAGGGAUAUAGUGAAUCUCGUCUGCUGGUGUAAAUGUAUCUUGACUGUCGGUUUUGAGGGAGCUCAACUAUAAAUAGAGAGCCUCCCCCUCAUUUGUACUCAUCCAUUGUAAGCUGAAUUCUUAAGAGUAAUAGAAUUCUUGAGCAUUUACUCAAACACUUUGUGUGCAUUCUUUCUUUGGCUUUCUAUUGUUCACUUGUAGCUUCUUUUGACACAACCGCUUCCGCUAUACAAAUUGGUGCCUUGGAGGAGUUCUUAUAAGAAUCCUCACUUUUGGGCGUAAAGGCUGACUUAGGCAACUUUAGGAUGAAUGGAUCGCCUAAGGCCACACGGAUUGCGAGACGAAAGGUCUAGCCCCGUGACACAAGGCCUUGUAUUCAUGGCUUAUUGUUCGUAUAACUAUUAACAACCUUACUCUAUUAAAAACUUAACAUGUAGAGCUACAAUACUUACCAAGAGGUGGAACAACCACUGAUUAAAUCAAGAUCCUAAGAUUCCAGCUUAAUAAGGAGAAGAUAAUAUUUAAUUUAAAAAAAGAACUAGAGGGAAAUAUUGAAGAAGGAAGAAACUUCCUGACGGUUCCUUUCACAUAGAUAUAUAUAACACCCAUUUCCUCAUAGUGGAACUUAACAAGUGUCACUCGAAUCUAGAAUUUGUCCUUCUUAAUGGCCUACAGAUUCUAAGAGAAAUAUAAAUGAAAAUCCUGCAAAAUUGAUAUUUGUCUAGUCAAUUUAGUUGGCUUUAAAUCAUAUCACUAUACAAAACCCAUUCUGCACAGUACUCAAGUAAAUGGGUGAACCAUAUGUUUGGCAGUAACUCUCACCCGACUUAUUCUUCACUUGAAAUAUUCUUUUCUUACAUUGUAGAAUAACCUAGAACAUAAAUCCUUAAUUAUUUUUGCGAUGAAUACUUUACACCAUCUCAAAUUUGCCUGAAGGCUGCUAAUGAGCGAAUUACACUAUACCAAGUAGAUAAGUUCAUGGCUCUUUGCCUUAUUCUUGGAUCCAUUGGACUUGGGGUGUGAUAGCCCAUGCUAAAGUACAUUCUCUUUCCUUUUCAACUCUUUUGAGGUCAAAGGUUGAAAAUAAAAAGACAAUAUAAUGAAACUGUAUUUGAUUACAAAAUAAAAUAAAAUCUUACAAAGUACUUGCUAAAUGAAAGGAAAGUUGCAAAAAAUCUAAUUACAAAGUAAAGUUGCUUAGAAAACUAAAUGUAAAAAUUGCCCUUCAUGACGGUCAGGGAAAAGUACAUUUAUACAAAGAUUCUUAGAUCAAAGAAAAGUCACAAUUGCCCUUCAUGAAGGUGUGGGAACCACAUGACCACCCUAAAGUCAUCUUUGCAGUGUCAUGAUGUCUUAAUAAAUUUCCUUAAAAUGCCUUUAACCACGGAAAAUAAUUGCUCCAAAUCCUGUCAUACAUCAUGAUUUUUCUUGUUACAUUGUGAUGUCCUCUUGGCUCUUCACAAAAAAUUUUCUUCUAAAUCACAAUGGUAACAACGAUUAUAGUCCUUGCAUUGUAACCAACCCUAUUGAUUUUCACCAAAUGGAUAUUCUAAACUUAGGCAAGGUUGAGACCUAUUUAGUAUAGGGUUGUGAUAGUCUAUAUCAACUUCCUAAAUCAUUGUUCCUUAUCUCCUUUUCACCUACACCCUUAAACACACAACUAAUUUAUUGAUCAGUAAACAUAAAAACACCUAAAAACAGACUAAAAAUAAAAAUAUUCAAAUAAUUAAUGACAGCUUAAAAACUAAAAACACUACAAAUAUUAGCGAUUUCGCUCAAAGAUAAAUCAUCCUAAGUGUGAUUUGACAUAAAUAAGUAGAAAAAUUGGGUGCUCAUCAUAGUCUACGCAAUCUUUUUAUAGCUUUCAAUUUCUGGAAGCUUAUACUUCCAAGAGCUCAUAAUCAUGCUCUAUGACUAGUUUGCUCUAUUAUCUUGCAAUCUUGCUCCUCAGUAGCAAACUCCUACUCCUUAAUAGAAAAAUCCUACUUUAUGCAACAUAAACUUAUACUCAUCUGUAGAAAAAUCCUACUACCACAAGAAUUCUCCCAAUCACAAAGUUAGGUAAAGGAAAACUCCCUCAUGAGAUAUCACACCAAACAAAUUAGCAUCCAGAAAAAGGCGCAUUGAUAACCAAAGAAUUUUGUAAAGAAAAGCACCUUUAAGGGAUAUUAUUACACCAAUCAAAUUGGUUUCCACAAAAAGUCUCCUGGCGAAAAAACUUAGUAGAGUAAAACACCCUCAGAAGAUAACCAUUAUGACAAACAAAUUGGCUCCUACAAAAACACUCCAGCCAUAAAGCUUGGUCAAGCAUAAAAUUUUCAUGGGAUAAAUCAUGCUAAUUCAAAAAAUUACUACCAAAUAUUGCACCUUCAAAAUUGGUUGAGCAUGAAUCCUCUAGAGGAUAUAACUAAAUCUCGAAGCUUUUAACAUAUUUAAUUUUCUCAUUUAGAGAAAUAUUUUAUUUAUCUUAGUUUUGAUUUGGUCACUUUAUAACCUGUUGUAGACUUGGAGGAAUGUCAAUUAUUAUACCAAGAGGUGAUAAUGAUUGCUAUCAAGCAUUAAUGGUAUCUUAGUACAAAGCUAGCAUGCAAGUCAACUUUGUAACACAACAAUAAAUAAGGAGCAACCUUUGGACUAAGAGAGAUAGUUAUGCAUAUUAUUCCUUUAUGAGGGCUCUAUUUCAUCUCGUCUUCUUUGCUUGCAACCUUAUGUUCUUUGCUUUCUAUGUAAUACUCCUCACUCAUAUCGAUCACCGAGUUCAAACUACAAGAUACUAUAGAUGUUUUUGAAGAAACUACCGUCAAAUUCAAAGUAAAACAAUUAUUUAACAAUCAAUCUGAAACAUCAUAAUCAAUCUGAAACAUCAUACAUACAAUAGUAGCAUUACAAAUAAUAGAUAUGGUAGACAACACUUCUCGCGUCUUACACGAGCAUACAAAAUGCUCCAAGGUUAACCUGAUUUCGAGUGAGGAUUAAUUUAUAAAAGUUACAAAACUUUAUUUUGACGUUACAGCGUAAGGAGGUUCUUCGUCACAACAUAACAUAGUGACUUAAACUCCUUGUCGUGGCAAAGGGGUACCUCAUCGCGUCGUGGCCUGGAUUGUCACAGCCCAAAUCUUGCAGAUCCGAUUAAUAGGUGCAAAGUUCUAAAAUUAUCUGUUUGGUAUAUUAUAAUAGUGUAGCCCGUCAUUUAAUAGAGUUUUUGGUGAACUAAUGUUUGUCACAUAUAGUUUUCGCCCAUAAAAGUAUUUAAGGAUUUAUUUUCAUAAUAUUCCUCAAAAGAAGAAAGAGUACGACAAGCUAAGAGUACACAUCGAAAGUUCUGGUUGAGUAUAACACGACAUAUAUGAUAUUCUGGUUGAGUAUAACACGACAUAUAUGAGUUAUUUCCAUACUUAUAGUAUGUCUGGUUUGUUCGAAUGAUGUGUAUACAGGGUUUUGUAACGUGAUUGGUUGAGGGUUAACUAAAUGGUUUGACUGGUCAAAUAGCACUAACAUCGAAUUCUCUUUUAUAUUUUCUCCGAUUUUUGUAGGACAUUAAGGGGACCACUUUUGUAUGUAUUUGACACUUGUCAAGUUCCAUUAAGGGGAAACUGGGGGUAUAUAUAUGGUAAGAUGGGUUCAUCUGGAUGGUUUUUCUUCCUUCACUAUUACUCUCUGGUUCUUUUUCUUAAACUUAAAUGUUCUCUCUUCAUUAUUGAGUUGGUGGUUAAGGUUUUUGAAUUAAUUUGUGGAUGUUCCAUCUCUUGGUAAAUCUAAUAGCUCUUCAUGUUAAGUUUUUGAAAAAUAAGGUUGUUAAGCAAUAUAAACAAUAAGUUAUGAAUAAGAGGCCCUGCAUGGGGGUUGUUUGUAGUUGAGAUGAUAGCAAAUUAUCUGGUAAUGGUUUUUUUUAUUAUGGUUCCAUGUUCUUUAAGUAGUUGCUACUAUUGGUUCGUGAAUGAUGUUCGAGUUUAGGACUUCAAGCUACAGCAUAUGAGAGUAUUAGGUGAGUCCCUAUCCUAGAUCCUACAUGUGAACUGAUCAAGUAGAUAUAUAUAUGAUUAUAAUAUCUCGAAUAACUGGUGUGUAUGCGAAGUAAUGUAAAGAUUCUGCAUGUGUAAGGAUAAUAUGUGUGAGGUACAAUUUGAAUAAGAAGUUAACUGGUAAGUCUACAUGUGAAAUCUAAUAUGAGAAAGUAAGAAUCAGUCAAGUAUGUGAACAAAUUUGGUUAAGUACCUUCUAAGUAAAAUAUCCCUUUGUGAUGCCUUUGAUAGGGCAGUUAUAUUACUAAUUAGACUAGAAGAUCACAAUAUGAAAAUAUGUGUAAACCCAUAUGGAAGAGACCCAUGGCAUUAUAUGACAACGAAAACACUCAUGAUGAUGUCUCAAGUAAGACGAUGAUUGGACUUACAGAUCACAAUAUGAGGAUGUAGUGUGUAAGCCCAUGUGGCUAAGACGCAUGACAUAAUAUGAUUAUCAAAAUAUUCUUUGUGAAUCCUCUAGUAAAAUAUGGAUUGGACUAGCAAAUCAUGACAUGAAUUUAAGUAUAAAACCAUGUGGGAGAAAACCCAUGGCACCUUUUGAUGAAGUUUGACGAGAUUGUAAACACGUAAUUCUAUGUGACGCCUUAGUGGUGUGUUAUGAAGACCUUCAUGGUGUAUUUGAUGAAGCCUGUGUGGCUUAUUCUAUGAUGUUUAUCUAACGUAUUCUGUAACGCCCUAAUGGCGAAGUCUGAGCUAACGCGAUUUGUGGAAUGAUAUGCGAUUUGUGCAAGUAUACACGCCAAUUCAAGUAAUAAAAUGAUGGGUGAGUAUAGUUCUCAUGAGGAUCGGAUUGAGGCACAAAGUUGGUGAAGUUAUCUUAAUAGGGUCAAGUUAAUGCUAUAGUAAAAUGAUUGAAGGAAAUGUUAUGGCAAAAGCUAAGGUAAAUACGCGAUGCUAGGUGAGUAACUAGAAUUGUUAUGGAAAAGGUGAUAAUAUAAAUGUAAUUAUAGGAUCUAUUGUGUGAAUAAUAUAUAAAUGAACAAAUAAUCAAUUAAGAAUGCUAAGGCAGAGAUAUUUCGGCAGAGAAUCAAGUAUAGUGUAUACGAUAUUUGUGGACGGUUGGGAUUACUCAGAAUCAAUCUUAUUGGAAAUAAUGCAAUGGAAAAAUCUUGAUUAACUUAUUGUGCAGAAAAGUCCUAGAGUGGCCUGCCUCUCUCAGGGGCAAAACCUCAUGUCACUGUUCCUGCUCAUAUAGGGUCUUAUUACAGUUACCUGUGUAAUUCUUUCUUUAUGAUGCAAACAUCAUUCGAAUCUUGCUCAUGCCAUCCAAUAUUAGUUAAGUAAUCUAACUUUUCCCGCAUUAAAUAAACUUAACAAAAAUAAUAUGCCAUCGACUAUUCUUAGGGAUUCCACUUAAACAAUUGAAUGGGUAGUAAAAUAAUUAGAUUUAUACCAUGGAAACUUAAAACAGUUAAGUAUCAUGAAAAUAACCCCAAUCCGAUGAGAUUUAACUCAUCGAUUGGAAAAUAUAAUUCCAAAUCAUCACUAUCGUUUACAACCAAAUAAGUUCACAAGAGAGCACUAAGGAAAUAACAGAAGAACAUUGGGGAAACAACUUCCGUUGGUCCACACUUCAGCAGCACACUGCCUUGUGUUAGCUGAGAGGAUGACUUCACCUUUCAAUCGAACCCUCUUACUCUUGCCUUAGGAUCUUCCCAUCUUGUUGUUCUUUGUCCUCUUAAGGUUUCCUUCAUUGGCCUUUUAUAAGCAAGUGUACUAGAGUUUAGCCAAUAGCCCAAGAUUAUCUUUUCUCUUUUUAAAUUGUUUUUGGUUUAAAAAUCCCUUCCUUUUGGGUAGGUGAUUAUCAACUCAUUAUCUCAUGAUCUUUUUCCUCUUUUUAGAUUCUUUUUCUCUAAGAUAAAACCAAAAGCCCAAGAUUUAUCUACUUUUUUUAGACAGAUUUAUCUGGUACAAGUAGAGUUGGUUGAAACUAGUAUGCCUUACUUGUUGACUCAGUCAUCUUCCUGGAAUUCUGAAUUUCAACGACAUGCAACUUGGCAAACUGUCCAUCGUUUUGCCUCGGCAAACCUUCACUCCUUUAUUUCUCAUUCCUCAUCCUGCACCUGCAAAACCACCAAACACAACCUUUCCACAUGCAAUUAAAAGUAACAAAUUACAAUAUUUAAGCACCAUUCAAGCUCCUUAUGCAAUGUUCUAAAAAAUACUAAAAUAAUAUCCUAAAAUGCAACUAAAUGUCCCUAAUUACAGGAAAUUAACUAGAUUUAAAGGCAUGAAAUAUAACUCUUUUCAUGAGUUAUCAACUUCAAGACUUAUCUGUUAACUAAUGUCAUGAUAGAGAAUUGGUAAGUUUAAUGAUAUAUAUUACUGGUUAGUCUUAUGGCAGAAUUUGAAUAUCAUAUAAGUAAAACUUUUAAAAGAGUCUCUAGCGCUAUUAUCUAAAGGGUGUAUCCACAAUAGUAAUACGUCAGUACAAUAAAUUGGCAUAUUCAUAUUUAAGAAAGGUUUAAGUGUUCGUUGGACUGAUUUAUCUAUGCUAUGUAGGAAUUAAAUCUGAGUUAUUUGGUAUUCGCCAGAUCUGAAUGAUUUUCAUAUACCAUUCAAAAGCCAUCCAGAAACUAACACUUGUCAAGCUGGGCGUUCUCGUGUUAUGUAACAUAGUCAUUUAGGAUUCUUCUAGAUAAUUUGUAAUGUUUCCUUAUAAUAUAAGUUAUGAUUUGAGGUUGAUUUAAGAUAUGAUUUGAUCAGUGAUUUGAUAACUAUCAGAAUCAGUAAGAGAAUCCGCCAGAAUUAAGAUCAAUAUGGAGUUUAACGUAAGAGACGCGUUAGUUUUUCUAUCCGUCAAGAGAAGUGUUUGUGAGUACUCAUACUGGGGAAAAGUAUUCUAUAUUUAUUUGAAGGGGAUUUCGUCAAUGGUAGAUUUUUUUUAGAUAUCAUUCUAAGAGAUACCUUUUUGUACUAAGAAGGAAUAAGAUAUGAAUCGGCUAGUAAGAUUUGGAGUUAGCCAAGAGUUGAAGCAAGAGUUAGUACGUAAAGCAUGGUAGUUGGCGUAUAGGUAUAUAUCAGAUAUUAUGAAAGUAGUCGCCAAAGACAGAGAUGUGAUCCAAAUUUUGCAGGAUGAGGAACUCAACUAGAAAGGUUCCAAGGUAUAUUGUGCUAAAAACUCACUAAGUUCGCAUUAACUUACAAAGUGUUGUUCUUGUUUUAGGUCCUACUGUGAGAGUGAGUAUGCCAGGAGGAACCAAG